rnacentral:rRNA from 2 species
CAGCAAUUUGUGGGAAUGCCUUUUUAGUUUAAUAAAAAGAGUAUAUUAGGUUUAACUUUAUAUAUAAUUUAUAUUAAAUUAAGAAUUCAAUGCCCUUUGAAUGUAAUUCUAGAUAAAAUAUUGAUAAUGACAAAGUUUUAUCUAUAUGUCUUGACCAAAUCUUGUGCCAGCAGUCGCGGCAACACAAGGAAGACAAGUGUUAUUCAUCUUAAAUCGGUUUAAAGGGUACCUAGACGGUAAAUUAGGCCUUAAAUGGAACGUUUUUACUAGAGUUAUAUAUGCGUGAGGAAUAUGUGAGUAUUACCAGAGUAGAGAUGAAAUUUUUUGAUACUGUUAAGACUGGUAAAAGCAAAGGCAAACCUUUAUAUAUUAACUGACGUUGAGGGACGAAGGCUUGGGGAGCAAACAGGAUUAGAUACCCUAAUAGUCCAGGCAGAGAAUUAUGAAUGUCAUAGAAUAUAGAUAUAAUA